AUCCCGGAUAGGUAAUAGUUAAGGUUAAAGGCUUAACUAGCCAAAGACUUCCGUAGUCGAGGCUGAAAGGUCGAUCGAUCACAUUGGGUAUGAAAAAAGCCCAAAACGUUAAGUGCAGCAGUGGGGAAUAUUGGUCAAUAGCCUAACGGCUGAACCAGCAACUUGGGGGAAUGUAUAGCUUCGGCUACUUAUGAUCUGGAUUAUUAUUAUUGUAAAAGAUAAUAAUGAUUUUGUCGUUUUAUAUAGGAAUCUCCUAUAUAUAUUAGGUAUCGAAAGAUGCCUACGAACACAUUAUAAGAUCGAUUUAAUCGAAUAAAGUUCUAGAUGGAUCACUGAUGAUGACAAUUUUCCAUCUACAUGUCUUGACCAAUUUACGUGCCAGCAGUCGCGGCAAUACGUAUAAGACUAGUGUUAUUCAUCUUUAAUAGGUUUAAAGGGUACCUAGACGGUA
rnacentral:rRNA from 1 species